GGAGCGUUCUGUAAGCCUGCGAAGGUGUGCUGUGAGGCAUGCUGGAGGUAUCAGAAGUGCGAAUGCUGACAUAAGUAACGAUAAAGCGGGUGAAAAGCCCGCUCGCCGGAAGACCAAGGGUUCCUGUCCAACGUUAAUCGGGGCAGGGUGAGUCGACCCCUAAGGCGAGGCCGAAAGGCGUAGUCGAUGGGAAACAGGUUAAUAUUCCUGUACUUGGUGUUACUGCGAAGGGGGGACGGAGAAGGCUAUGUUGGCCGGGCGACGGUUGUCCCGGUUUAAGCGUGUAGGCUGGUUUUCCAGGCAAAUCCGGAAAAUCAAGGCUGAGGCGUGAUGACGAGGCACUACGGUGCUGAAGCAACAAAUGCCCUGCUUCCAGGAAAAGCCUCUAAGCAUCAGGUAACAUCAAAUCGUACCCCAAACCGACACAGGUGGUCAGGUAGAGAAUACCAAGGCGCUUGAGAGAACUCGGGUGAAGGAACUAGGCAAAAUGGUGCCGUAACUUCGGGAGAAGGCACGCUGAUAUGUAGGUGAAGUCCCUUGCGGAUGGAGC
rnacentral:rRNA from 1 species